rnacentral:rRNA from 1 species
CGGGGUGAGUAAUGUCUGGGAAACUGCCUGAUGGAGGGGGAUAACUGCUGGAAACGGUAGCUAAUACCGCAUAACGUCGCAAGACCAAAGAGGGGGACCUUCGGGCCUCUUGCCAUCGGAUGUGCCCAGAUGGGAUUAGCUAGUAGGUGGGGUAACGGCUCACCUAGGCGACGAUCCCUAGCUGGUCUGAGAGGAUGACCAGCCACACUGGAACUGAGACACGGCCAG